GAAAGUAAAGGAUACAUCUAAAGUAGGACUUACUUGUUGAAUUCUCCCAACUAGACUUUUAUGUGGCCCAUGUCAGUAAACUCCUAGUCAGGUUUGACGAGCUAUUAAAAGCUCUGCUCAUUUGGAGGGUAUUAAAAUAACAGAUGGUCAGUCUGAACCAGCAAAGCACAUGCUCCAACAACCUUUCUGGAGGCCUCUUCCUAUAGCGGAGCAUCAUUCUUACAUCAGGCCACAUCAAAAAUGCCCUGACCUGGAUCCCUCUGCUAUCCAGAGAAAGAGGUCCUCCCGCUACAGAAAUGUGUGUGCGCUUCCAUUCCAUGAUGCUGUAGAAACCACCACCAUCCCUGUGGCUACUUCCAGUGUCAAAGCAAGAACCUAGAAUUCUAGCUCAGUCUCAGUCAGAAUGGAGGCAUAUAGGUUAGAGGAGAAAAAAUGAAUAGGGAAAUACAAAGAUAUUAUCCCACUGUCAAUGACUGUGCCAUGGGGCCACUGAGACCCUGGCAAUGGUAACACCUGGCCAUUGGGUUUGCCAGUGAGUUUUGAGUUCCUUCACUAGGUCUGACCUGUCUUCUCCCUGAUUUUUCCAUACCAACCACAUGUAGCUGCCUUACCUCAAAGCCAGAGAAGCUCAACACCAUCAAGUGAAAUUGGAACCACCCCACCAAGCAGUCCCCACCACAUCCUGACCUGGCAAACUGGGAGCUACAGUGAUAGCUGCUUCCUGGAUUCCUCCCUCUAUCCAGAGCUAGCUGAUGUCCAAUGGUACGGGCAGGAAAAAGCCAAGCCCGGGACCCUCGUGUGAGCCAGCCCGGCCUGAUCUGACCGCCUCAACGCCAUUUUGAGUCACCUCACUGCCUCUCAUUUGCCUUACCCAGACACACUGUCACCUGCACCAGCUUCGGCCCUCAGCACUUUUUUUCUCCUGUCUCCGUAUCCCCUUCACCCUCAAAACCUGACUAAGGAGGCAUUCUGGAAGGUUCCGGUCCCACUGUGUGUCCCCUGGUUCUCUUACCCACAGAGACCCAGACAACAAUCCUCACUGGCACCUUAGUGGCUUCCCCCUGCCAUGAUGGCCCAAGGCCAGGAACUGUCAGGGAAGCUAGCACUCAUGCAAUUCCUACAGACUAAAACCAUUGGUAGAGAAUGGAAAAAGACCAAUCUACAUGCAGAAAGACAGUGAAGUUGUGUCGAGCUGUUGCUGUAGACCAACUAAGCACUUCAAGAGGAGCAUGCCUCAUGGGGAUAUUCAUUUUACCCUGAAGUAUUCUGAAGUGAGACAGCUCAGAGGAGUACCUAGAGGGGAGAGAGAAAAAGGAAGACCAACACUUCAGAGAUGCAUUGGAGGAUCAUAAUCAGAUCUAUGCUGCCAAAGAUUAAAUACAUUCUAAAAAUAAACAGAUAAGGGGCUAAGAGGAACACAUUUUUUUUUUCUGCAGUGAAAUUUCUCUUAAAUUCUAAACUGCUUCUAUGCAGCACAAGUGAAAGUCAACCAUUUGUAAAUCAUGUCUUGUCUUGACUCAUUUCCCUACCUUCUCCCUACCUGACAGCUUGGAAAUGAACCCAGUGGGACAGUGAAGACAAAGGAGGCUUGGCUGGUCUGGUGGACUCAGAAUCUCCAUCCAUCCAGACAUGACGGAAAACAGACAUUGGGAAGAGCAGGGUAGUUAGUCCUGUUCUAUGCAAGGGGCUUAGCCCAAGCCCCAAAGCUGCUUUCCUUUAGGGAUUGGUAGGAAGCUUAAGGUGAUCAUUGCCAAAAGUGGUUCUCUCUCAUUAAAACAACUAGUAAAAUGUAACUUUUUUUUGACACAUUGUUUCAUUUUCCUUUUUCAUGGGAAACCAAGGGAAAAGCACAUUGCAAUCCAUCCAAGUGUUGUAACUGUUGUGGCUCAUUUCAUUUUAUAUUUGUUAACACUUGUGUGACAAAGAGCUCAAAUGUGACAUCUCUUGUGUGUCAUUCAAAGAACCCAACUACACCCUUAGGUAGGAAGAUUUUUUUUUUUUUUUACAGGUGUCUAAAAGCCAGCAGAUAGAGCAGAAUUGAAACAACCCAGCUCCCAAAGGGCCCAUACACCUCCAACAGUAUGAGUGACCUUGAUUCACAACUUUAGCAGAUACCAAGAGGACAAAAGAAGGAAAAACCAGCCUGUGGGAGCUGCUCGUUUACAUGUGUUUUGUGCUAUGCUUAACACACAACCAGAAAGCCAUCAAUCUUCAAAGGCCUCAAACAUACUUUUAUAAUAACUAAGCAGUGCACAAUCUUAGUUGGGUUACGCAAGAUGGCACAAAAUGUCUCCAUGGAGGUAGUAUGGUAUACACGUUGGUGCAAGUAGAGUGGGACAGGGGAAGGUAUUAUAUUUGUAGUGACUCCCUAGGGGAAAGGCAUUUAACAGCCAUGGACAAGAGCCUGGGCCGGGGUACUUUUGUGGGAAAGCAGAACUAAAGUUAGCUGUAGCAUCAAAAGAAAAAUCUUUGUUUUUCGUGUAUGUGAAUCCAAGAAUAAUUAUAAACUCUACAAGACCAGGAGGGUAAGAAAUGGACACCAAAUUACUAACUUUGUUGCUCAGUCUGCUAUGGCUUGGAAAGCUCUGGAAGUCAAGUGGGAGCACUUAUACCAGGUAGGCACAUUCAUACCAUGUUGGUCUGAGGCCUCCUCCACCAUUUUUCUGUGGUUCACUCAAGGCUGGGUACCCCAGAGCUAUGCAUGGCUCGGUUGGUAAUGCCAGCUUUCGGAACAUAGCACAAUACCCAGGAAACUUGAAAGCUAAACCUGUAGGAUUAAUAGAAAUUGAUGAUGAUGUUACAAAAUGAAUUGGGCUUGACAGGGGUGGGGGUCACUUUUUUUGGCAGGUUUAUUGGGAGGAUUUUUUUUUCUUCCUUCCCUAUUUGGAAACAUUAUACAUUGGGUGAUUUUUAUUUCUCCCCAAAGAAGAUGCCUGAAUAACUAGACUGAACUAUGUGCAAUAAGACAAGUACAAAGGGAAACAGAGAAGGUGACACGGUGACAAGGUUACAGGUUAUAACAUGGAUAGUACUUUGAAAAUCAAGUCUGAAGUCAAUCGGAUCAAUGAGAGAGGCAGAAAGAAGCUCUUUUUAAAAACUUGGGUUACAUUUUGUAUUUGGGGAGCAGAGAGGAAUGGAAUGGGAGCAGUGAACAUCAUGAUAGUCUGAUAGCAAAGACAGAUUAAGUAAAACAGGUUUUACUGUUUAGCUGUGUUCAGUUAAUACAAAAGGUAGAUAAAGUACUAGUCCUUUGAGACUAACAUGAUGAAUGAUCAAUGUGGCGGAAAGUGCUCUAGUUAUUGCAUACAAGCACUUGCAAACUCUUUACAGAUGAAAUAUGGAGCUCCUGGUCUGAUAUAAAGCCCUUAUUGGAUUCUUUGGAUACAUGUACGAAAUUGCCUGUUUCAGACAGAUGACUAUGUUGUGAGCCAGGUUGGUUUUUUAUUUUGUUAUAUGCAGAUGAGUGUUGAAACUGUUAAAAUUCCAACUUGUUUUCAUUCAGUAUUAGUUUAGUUCUAAAUAUAGCAAACCUCAUCCAGGUGCUAUCAGAUGACCAAUUACUGCUUAGUUAACUAGGUGUAAAGUUUUACAUAUCCAUUCAUGUCAAUAGUUUAUUACAAGUUGUGUAAAAUGGACUCUAGUUUAAUAAAGGGGGGAAAUGAUUAGGUUGCUCCUGAAACUGACUGUAGAGCAUGUAAAAUGAUUUUACUGGAUUCUGUUGAUCUGUAAUCAAUGAAAAAAAGAUGUAUGUUGUAGACAAAGUUGCAGAAUUAAAGAAGAAAUCUGCUUUUAAUUUAUUCUUUUGUAUUAAGAAUUUGUAUAGUACCUUUACAUUUUGCAAAACAGUGUUGUCAACACUUAUUAAAACAU